GAGUGGCAAACGGGUGAGUAAUACAUCGGAACGUGCCCAGUAGUGGGGGAUAGCUCGGCGAAAGCCGGAUUAAUACCGCAUACGACCUACGGGUGAAAGGGGGGGAUCGAAAGACCUCGCGCGAUUGGAGCGGCCGAUAUCAGAUUAGGUAGUUGGUGGGGUAAAGGCUCACCAAGCCAACGAUCUGUAGCUGGUCUGAGAGGACGACCAGCCACACUGGGACUGAGACACGGCCCAGACUCC
rnacentral:rRNA from 1 species